rnacentral:rRNA from 1 species
AGAGUUUGAUCCUGGCUCAGAACGAACGCUGGCGGCGUGCUUAAUACAUGCAAGUCGAACGAGAAACCCUGACUUCGGUUGGGGCGGUAAAGUGGCGAACGGGUGAGUAACACGUGGAUAAUCUACCUCAUAGUCUGGGAUACUCCUUCGAAAGAGGGCUUAAUACCGGAUAAUAUCUUCUGAUGGCAUCAUCGGAAGAUCAAAGGCGGGGUAACCUGCCGCUGAGAGAUGAGUCCGCGCUCCAUUAGCUUGUUGGUGAGGUAAUGGCUUACCAAGGCGAUGAUCGGUAGCUGGUCUGAGAGGACGAUCAGCCACACUGGAAUUGAGAUACGGUCCAGACUCCUACGAGAGGCAGCAGUGGGGAAUUUUGCGCAAUGGGCGAAAGCCUGACGCAGCAACGCCGCGUGAUCGAUGAAGCUCCUCGGAGUGUAAAGAUCUGUCAUAAGGGAAGAACAACUUUAAUGUAAAUAAUAUUAGAAUUUGACGGUACCUAUAAGAAAGCACCGCUAACUUA